rnacentral:tRNA from 1 species
GGACGAUUAGCUCAGCUGGGAGAGCACCUGCCUUACAAGCAGGGGGUCGGCGGUUCGAUCCCGUCAUCCUCCACCA